UACGUAGGGUGCGAGCGUUGUCCGGAAUUACUGGGCGUAAAGGGCGCGUAGGUGGCUUGUUAAGCGUGUGGUGAAAGCCUGGGGCUCAACCCCAGGUCUGCCGUGCGAACUGGCAAGCUUGAGCGUAGUAGAGGCAGGUGGAAUUUCGGGUGUAGCGGUGGAAUGCGUAGAUAUCCGAAAGAACACCGGUGGCGAAGGCGGCCUGCUGGGCUACUGCUGACACUGAUGCGCGACAGCGUGGGGAGCAAACAGG
rnacentral:rRNA from 1 species